UACAGAGGAGCCAAGCGUUGUCCGGAUUGACUGGGCGUAAAGCGCACGCAGGCGGUCGGGCGCGUGGGGUGUGAAAUCUGGCCGCUUAACGGCCAGGCGCCAUCCCAUACGGCUCGACUGGAGUGAUGCAGAGGUCGAUGGAAUUGCAGGUGUAGCGGUGAAAUGCGUAGAUAUCUGCAGGAACACCCGUGGCGAAAGCGGCGCGCUGGACCACUACUGACGCUGAGGAACGAAAGCUAGGGGAGCAAACAGG
rnacentral:rRNA from 1 species